AGGCUAUGAUAUGAGAAAAGUCACAGCUUUUCAGUUCUCCCAGACCCUCAGACAGGUGUGUCUACCCAGCCGCUGAAGCGUCAAUGCUCACUCCGGUGCUCACUGGUCUUUAACAGAGCGUGAAGGCUGGGCAGCAGACACAGGGUCUUAGUAGACAUGACUUUGGGGCUCCCCCUAGCCUGCAGAUUCUACUUUUUCUAGACCCCACCUCCUGCCCCCCAAUAUAUACAGAGCAUGCCCACAGCACAUGGGACCCUGGGAGCAUCUGGGACAGAGAAGGCAGAGCCUUCCAAGGUGCGAGGCUCCAUGGUCCACACCUGGUUCAGCUCCUAGUGUCUGCUCUCCUCUGGGGUCCUCGCCAGCCUCCCAGCCUCUCACUUGCAAGGAGCCCAGCAGCGACUGUGAAUACAGGCUGGAGGAGCAGACGCAGGCCACUGCCUUGCAGCCGCUGCAAUAUUUAUAGUCACAGUUACCUUCUGUUUCUGUCAAGAGACAUCAGGCUUUAUUUACAGCACGGAUGUGGCCUUUCCUGAACACACGGACUCUUUUACUCUAACAAAUAGAAAAGUGAGUUAUUUCUAGAAUAGCAGCAAGAACAUGGCCCAAGAUGCUAACGACUAAGAGGAGUGACCCAACAGGGAGCCACAUGACAAAAGGACUUCAGAGCCCCUGUGUUGCCUAACUCUGUCUGACAUGAGGGCACAGCUGGUGUCUUUGUGGGCUGUUGAGAGAUUCCAGGUUCGUCUUUCCCCAGCAAUGAUACAAGAGGUCUAAUGUCAUGGUACCUGAGGCUACCUCAGGGUCCAGCACCAGUUCAAAUUCAAGCACCUGGGACCUGGGUCAGGGAACAGGAUGGGGAGCAAGCUAACCAGGUCUUCCCUCAUCUCCCCAUCCCACGCCCUCGGAUCUGAGGGGAAGACUUGGGGAUGGGCCCCAUCCCCACAUCUGGAGCUCGUUAUAUUGGGGCUGGAGAGGCGCAGGAUACAAAUGGGUCCGGCAAGGGUUUAGAUAAAUACGGGAUGAUAGAUCCGCACCAGGCUACGGAGGGGAAGUGCGGGAUGUUCCCGGAAGACGCUUAACCUUGUCAAGCUCCCCGACAAACUGUCCCCAGGGGGCGUCUACUCAGCAGCUCAUCUUCUGCUCCUGCCCCACGCAAAGCAGUCCCAAGUGCAGCCUGGGGGUGGAGACACCCCCCAAUCUCAGGACUUCCAGCCUCCUUCUGAGGCCAGGCCUGAGCCUGAGCCUGAGCCUGGAACACACUCCACCCCCUUUCUACACUACUCCAGGAAGCCCUCCCUGACCACCCAGGCUGGCACAGGGUCUGAGGGUAACUCACUUGCCAAAGCCACUCAGAGGGCCAGCAGAGCCUAGCAGGGGGCAGCUGUGUAGUGACCAUAUGGUCAAGUGCCCAGCACGGUGCUGUGCAUACUCAGCAACCUUACGGAAGGCGCCAUUUGACAGGAGAGCAAUCCAGGGCAAAGAGGGGACACAUGGGGCAUAAUGAGCAGCCAGGGUCCAGUGUCCAUAUACGUUUGGUAGAAUUCCUGACCAGGGCUCAUUUUAGUAGAAGCCAGGUCUCCCAGGCGUCUCUGCCAUUGAACCUCCUAAGUGACCUGCCAUCCUGGGACCCUCAUGGAACAGAAGGGCACGCUGGCAGCUUCCAUGAUACUGAAAUGGUCACUGUGGCAAGGUGACUCAGAGAGAAAGUCAUGUAAAGGCACAGCCUAUCCUCUGUGAGGCAGACUCCCUUGGCGUCCUAUAUCCUUCCAGGUCAAGGGAACAUAGGGAUAGCUAACUUGGAGGGGCAGCCAUCCUGAGGAGGGUGUGAGUCUGGGUAAGCUCACAUUUCCCAAGGCCAUGGCCACAAAAGCUCCUGGGAUAGCAUAGUGGUGGGUGUGAGGAGCUGGUUCAAGCCAGAGCUCCUGGCUCCCUCCAUGGAAGGCAGGCCUCGGGAGAAAAGGUGACACAGAGGCAGCAGGGGACUCAGCAGUGAUGACUACCACCUCCUGUCUACGCCACGCCAGGAGCAGGUGCGAUUAGGAUCCUGUUAGCAGGACACUCCUGGGCAGGUGAGCACACUCCACACUCCUGGCAGCUGCCUUAGCUCAGAGCACAGGAAGCAGACAGCGUGGGUGGUAGGCGAAGGCCGCUCCCAGCUGCCCGGGGCCACUCACAGUGCUGUGCAAUCUUUGUCAGGUCCCUUUCCCUCUCUGGGCUCCAAAUGUCCUUUUCAACCAAUGGGAGGCUCAGGCUGGCUAGCAUUCUUCCAAAUUCAGUGGUUGCUAUGAGGCUUCCGGCCAUAUCUGCCAUCACACGAACUAGGCUAUAACCUCACAUUGAGUCACCUAUUUUUACCGAAAUAAAUUCAUUAGUAAAGGGAAAAUCAGGUUAGUAGCGUAACCAGAAAGCACUAAUCCUUCUAACCUGAGGGAGUUUGGGUUCCGAAGACGGCUGCCUUGGCUUAUGAUCUGACACAGAGCUAUGCAACCCCAGGUGACUUACUGUGGCUCUCUCUGUGCCUCGGCUUGCUCAUGUGACAGUUAAAGCUAUAAGGAAGUCCAAAUGUAAAGUCUAUGUGUGAGUCUGUCUGCUGGUCGAUGAGUGUGUGUGCAUGUCUACCUGUCUAUGGUUAUGUGUGAGUGUGUAAUGUGUCUGUUUUGUGGUGUGAAUGUCUGCCUCUGUGUGUGGUGUGUCUGUGAGUGUGUGUGUGUGUGUGUGUGUGUGUGUGUGUAAGUGGUGUGGUGUAUGUAUGUUUUGUAGGGUGUGUGUCUGUCUGUGUGAGCAGUGUGUCUGUCUGUUUGUGAGUGUGUAUGUGUGUGUUUGCAUUAAAAAUGCAUUCUCUGAACUGUGUACAACCCACCGACAAGAUAUCCUGGCAUUCUGGCUCCCCAGUGGGGUCUGUGCAGCAGGUCUGAGCUGGAGACUAGCUUUCUCCAAUGAAAAGCAGAUUAGGAGCUGUCAGAGAGGUGGUAGAGACGAGUUGGCAGGAAACAGACUUUCUCCAUUUGGCACAGAGAGGUGAAGCAACCUGGUCAAAUGUGCACAGCUCCUCAGUGACAGCAAAGAGAACGCCCAACCCAUUGUCCUGUCCCUUAGCAGACUGGCUCAGCUUCUCGGCACAACCUGGCAUGACAGGUUCCCAAGCUCAUGCCACCCACCAGAGUAGGUAAACAAGUCUCUUCCAGGUGAGGAGACACUCAUGAAGCCCCCUCCCCCCUAUCUCCCCCCAGAGCUGACAGAGACCUGGAUGACUGGGGGUCUGGCAAUGCCAGCUCACAGCCACAUGCCACACCACAGGAUCUGUCCCGCUCCUCUGGGUGGGUGAGUCAUGGGGGUCCUGCCACCUAGCCCAGGCUGUGUACGCCAUUAACACCUCAGCUUGGAGGGUCACAGACUGUCUGGAUUUGCCCUGUGAAUUGACAGAGCGUGGCUGAUCACCAGACCCGCCCAGAAGCCACGUCCCUACCUGGAACACCACCAAGGACUAAGUGAUCUAAUCCAGGAGGUCUGGACUUGGAAAGGCUUCCCAAUGGCCUGAGAGGCUAGACACAGUGGGUGGUCGCUCCAGGACACUUGGCUUUGCAUUGCAAAGGCCAACCCACCCCCACCUCUCACUCCCACCCCUGCAAAAAGCCAGGCUGGCUUUGGGAUGCUCCGGAGCCAAGCCACCCAGGACUCCACCACACCCGUCCCCUCUGCCUCAAUCAGGCAUCCUCUAUCCUUUGAGCCAUCAGAAGGAACAAGCGCUCUUGCCAGGCCUCCAUCAGUGUCUCUCCCAACCACAGUGUGUGUGUCAUCCCCACCCUGUGAGCCAAUUCAGCUCCUGCCUCAGGAUCCUAUCCUGACCCUCCUCUUCCAGGAAGCCUUCCCUGCCCUUCCCCACUAAACUCACCAUUCAUCGUGCAGCUAUCCCAAAUCUGUCGUGAUCCUGUGACCUGCCUCUAGGCUCUGGGGGGCCACAAGGGCUCUCGGCCCUUGGCGACGCACAGACCCAGUGCGCACAGUAAAGGCUAGAGUUUGG